GGAUGGCCUAGAGUCUGGAGCUGCAGAAGAGGCAGGGCGGAGAGGAGGGGAAAGAAGCAUCUGAACGGCUAAAUUGUGCCAGCAGCGCUGAGAGCGAGAGUCGCGCGGUGCCGUAAGGAAGGGAUGAGACGUUUUCCAGCACCAGCCAGAGCGUUCAGUGUUACGCGAAGAAUCUGUUCAAAAUGGUAUCGAUGUCUUCUCAGUGUCUCGUGAUGCUCAAGAGAUGCCCCCCGGCCCGGGUUUGCCUGCCGGUCGUUAAGCGUGGUGAAGGGCCAAAGAGACCCAGAAGUGAACCGUUUGGAAAAGCAAUCCCAACUUU